UGAACGCUGGCGGCGUGCCUAACACAUGCAAGUCGAACGGAGUCCAGCCUUUAAGACCUUCGGGUCAAAGAGGGGAAGACUGAGUGGCGGACGGGUGAGUAACACGUGGGCAACCUGGCUCAUAGAGGGGGAUAACAGAGAGAAAUUUCUGCUAAUACCGCAUAAGCACACACUGCCGCAUGGCAGAGGGUGAAAAGAGAAUCGCUAUGAGAUGGACCCGCGUCUGAUUAGCCAGUUGGCAGGGUAAGAGCCUACCAAAGCGGCGAUCAGUAGCCGAUCUGAGAGGAUGAACGGCCACAUUGGGACUGAGACACGGCCCAAACUCCUACGGGAGGCAGCAGUGGGGGAUAUUGCACAAUGGGGGGAACCCUGAUGCAGCGACGCCGCGUGAGUGAAGAAGUAUUUCGGUAUGUAAAGCUCUAUCAGCAGGGAAGAUAAUGACAGUACCUGAAUAAGAAGCCCCGGCUAACUACGUG
rnacentral:rRNA from 1 species